rnacentral:lncRNA from 1 species
GGGCAUGUCCCGAUGUUGGUUGUUUUUGGAUUAGUAGAGGCUUUAUGGAUAUUACUGUGGAUUGGGUACUGAUGUUGACAUUGUUAGAUGUCUUUGAGUUUAUUACUUUUCUAUCUUGGUAUAUGUUUGGAAUUCAACCGCUGCUAGGUGUUAUGUUCUGUAUUGACUAGGCAAAUGGGUUGGUCUCCAGUCCUCAGUGGACUUGGGAUACCCGUCACGGCUAGACCCUGGUUCGGGUCGUGAUUGACCCCAUAGUGAGUGAAUUGUUUUUUCUUCCUCCAUAAGAAAAGUAUUUAAAUAUUAGUCUUCCUUUCUUUUUAUUUAUA